UGUAAGCGUAUACCAAAGUUGUUGCAGUUAAAACGCUCGUCGUCGGAAUUUGGCAGUUCCGGAAGUGUGCACGUCGUGUGCGCACUUUGCGGGGACUGCUUUUGUGGUCUUGCGUAGGAUGAGGCACUUUCAUUAGUGAACGUCCUCACGCAACCACUCUUUACUGUGAGAAAAUCAGAGUGCUCAAAGCAGGCAUUUGCCGUGAAUGUAUUAGCAUGGAAUAAUAGAAUAGGACUCGGUUCUAUUUUGUUGGUUUGUUGGGACUGAGUAAUGAUUAAGAGGGACAGUUGGGGGCAUUUGUAUUCCGGCGCUAGAGGUGAAAUUCUUAGAUUGCCGGAAGACAAACUGCUGCGAAAGCGUCUGCCAAGGAUGUUUUCAUUGA
rnacentral:rRNA from 1 species